rnacentral:rRNA from 1 species
UUUUCCUACGGGGCGCAGCAGUGGGGGAUAUUGCACAAUGGGGGGAACCCUGAUGCAGCGACGCCGCGUGGGCGAUGGAGUACUUCGGUAUGUAAAGCCCUAUCAGCAGGGAAGAAAAUGACGGUACCUGACUAAGAAGCCCCAGCUAAAUACGUGCCAGCAGCCGCGGUAAUACGUAUGGGGCAAGCGUUAUCCGGAUUUACUGGGUGUAAAGGGAGCGUAGGCGGCGAUGCAAGUCAGAAGUGAAAGCCCGGGGCUCAACUCCGGGACUGCUUUUGAAACUGUGUUGCUAGAUUGCAGGAGAG